GUAAAUAUAGUUUAACAAAAACACUAGAUUGUGGAUCUAGAAACAGAAACUCAACAUUUCUUAUUUACC
rnacentral:tRNA from 2 species